AUGCUGUGCCCAAAUUCCAGCGGAACAAGAAGAUUUACAUGGAAAGAUUAUAUAGGACUAGCUCUUGACGGACCUGAUUUUGCAUGCUUGUAGCUGUAGUCCAGCUCCGAGGAUGAUGAGCAGCAACUGAACUAUUAGCAACAAAAGCGAUUGUACUUGAUUCCUCUACUACAUCAGCAGCUUCUGCUGGCGGUAAUUCUCU
rnacentral:lncRNA from 1 species